AAAACAUACCCGAGAAUGAGCGUAGGUGCGAGAGUGGCUGCAUCGGGACUGUCUAUAAUUAUACUUGUGUUGAUGCUGAUACCACUUCUCAAAAUGCUAACAAAAAUGUCGCACAGCAGCAAAAAAGUCCAGUACCUACACCAGAGGUGAAGAAAGCCAAUCCACUCUUCACUGAUCAUGAGGGCAAAAUAGUUUGUUUCUACCUCCCAGCCGUCAAGCCUGGCUACUCAAGACAGCUGGUGGGGAUUGGACAACAUG